CUAUGAUAUGGUCUUGAUGGUCAUGAUCAUCUCAUCCUCCACUCUCUCUAAAAUUUAUUCACACCUACUAUUCCUUUCACCCUCUCUUCGCCCCCAAAUUUCUUGCCUUAUAUAGCAAAUCAAAAAAAACCCUCUUCAAUCAAUCUUUACAAUCACACCAUGUCAAGUGAAAGAGGUAAGGACAUAGCAGAAGAAUCAAGUGAUCAUCAACAGUCGGUGACACCGAGCCGAUAUGAGUCACAAAAGAGAAGGGAUUGGAACACUUUUGGUCAGUACUUGAAGAACCAGAGGCCUCCAGUGGCACUCUCACAGUGCAAUAGCAAUCAUGUGCUGGAUUUCCUAAGGUACCUUGAUCAGUUUGGAAAGACUAAGGUUCAUGUACAAGGUUGUAUGUUCUAUGGACAACCCGACCCGCCCGCCCCGUGUACUUGCCCUUUAAGACAAGCUUGGGGAAGCCUUGAUGCACUUAUUGGAAGGCUUAGAGCUGCCUAUGAAGAAAAUGGAGGAUCACCAGAGACUAAUCCCUUCGCCAGUGGCGCUAUUCGGGUUUAUUUAAGGGAAGUGAGAGAUUGUCAAGCUAAAGCAAGAGGGAUUCCUUAUAAGAAGAAGAAGAAGAAACCAACUAGUAGUCAAGGCAAAGGGAGUACUGCAGAUGAAUCAAGCUCCACAAUGCACUUCUCUUGAUCCAUUAAAAUAUGGAUUCCUAGAUAAAGUAACAAGUUUCCUAGUUCGACCUUCAGUAGGCAGAGCAAACUCCAUUUAUGAGUGUAAAUUAUAUAUAUAUAUAUAUAUAUACUUCUUAAUCGAAAAGAUGUGUUUAAUAGUCCAAGCGCGCUACUGCAUGUUCCAUACGUACGUAUAGCUUAGAUUACAUUUUCUUGACUGAUUCCAUUAUGGUUUUAUAACAAGUGGAGAGGUAGACUUACCUAGCUACAUGCACAGCCAAAGUACUGGUAUAUAUAAAUGUCCCCUUUGAUCGAGAGGUAUGCAUGCUUGAACUCGGAGAGGAUCUGAAUUAAUGAUCAAAUUAAGGCUCUGAUACCAUGUGUUCUGGUAUUUUAUUUUAUUUUUAUAUUUUCUAUCUGGAUGCUCUAAGAUAUCUAGAGAGGACAAAUAUUUAUGAACUCCCACUGCUUCUUUGCUUUGAACUACUUCUUCAUUUUAAAAUGUACGUCAAGUCAUUUACACUGUUUAUUUUUUUUAAGAAAUGUUUGAUCUUCAUUAU